rnacentral:other from 1 species
GAUUUGCUGCAGUGUACGUGGCUUUGAUUAUAUCCCGGAGGCCGAUGCAUUCGCAUAGGGAGCUGUCCCUGGCUUUAACCACUCUCUUUGCAUUGGGGUUUUAGUUACUUACGGCGCCCACCUGGUUAACAGGGCCAAACGCGGAUUUCAAAAUGGCUACGGCUCAGGCGGCAAAUCC